UACAGAGGUCCCGAGCGUUGUUCGGAUUCACUGGGCGUAAAGGGUGCGCAGGUGGGUUUGCAAGUUCGAUGUGAAAGCCCCGGGCUUAACCCGGGAAUGGCAUUGGAUACUGCAGAUCUGGAGGAUCGGAGGGGGGACUGGAAUUCUUGGUGUAGCAGUGAAAUGCGUAGAUAUCAAGAGGAACACCAGUGGCGAAGGCGAGUCCCUGGACGAUACCUGACACUGAGGCACGAAAGCUAGGGGAGCAAACGGG
rnacentral:rRNA from 1 species